UACGUAGGUGGCAAGCGUUGUCCGGAAUUAUUGGGCGUAAAGAGCUCGUAGGCGGCUUGUUGCGUCGGCUGUGAAAACCCGUGGCUUAACUGCGGGCUUGCAGCCGAUACGGGCGGGCUAGAGUUCGGUAGGGGAGACUGGAAUUCCUGGUGUAGCGGUGAAAUGCGCAGAUAUCAGGAGGAACACCGGUGGCGAAGGCGGGUCUCUGGGCCGAUACUGACGCUGAGGAGCGAAAGCGUGGGGAGCGAACAGG
rnacentral:rRNA from 1 species